rnacentral:rRNA from 1 species
UACGUAGGGCGCAAGCGUUGUCCGGAAUUAUUGGGCGUAAAGAGCUCGUAGGCGGCUUGUCACGUCGGGUGUGAAAGCCCGGGGCUUAACCCCGGGUCUGCAUUCGAUACGGGCUAGCUAGAGUGUGGUAGGGGAGAUCGGAAUUCCUGGUGUAGCGGUGAAAUGCGCAGAUAUCAGGAGGAACACCGGUGGCGAAGGCGGAUCUCUGGGCAAUUCCUGACGCUGAGGCGCGAAAGCGUGGGGAGCAAACGGG